rnacentral:lncRNA from 1 species
CCUUGGGGUUCUUUGCCUAGCUGUUGGGUGUACAGAUGUUUGUCGGGUUCUUGAAGAUGCGUUGACGUGUUAUCAUCCACGCAAGCUUCCCCAACCCAGCCAGUGUACCACAAGACAACAAGCAUUCAGGAGGACGGGAGGAGGGAGCGAGCGGCUGCACGCAUUAUUGAACGGGACGGCAUUACAUUCUCCCCACAGCUGUAUGACUACACUGAAGCAAGCCCAGAAUAAAGUGUUGAGUGACCAUGAUACGUUGAUGAGUGCGUGGAGUCACCCAGAUCCUCUCUCUGUGGACCAUCCCCUCAGCACUGUUCGAUCCGCCCAGCAGCAGCAACGGUCAGGAGAAGGCGGUCAUUGAAGUGUCAAGUCUCCAAGCUGGUAUGGUGGAUUCAGUACUACUAACGCCAAAGAAGUGAGGCAAGUUUUUGGAGUGAGCGUGCAU